GGCCAGACUCCUACGGGAGGCAGCAGUGGGGAAUAUUGCACAAUGGGGGAAACCCUGAUGCAGCGACGCCGCGUGAGUGAAGAAGUAUUUCGGUAUGUAAAGCUCUAUCAGCAGGGAAGAAAAUGACGGUACCUGACUAAGAAGCCCCGGCUAACUACGUGCCUGCAGCCGCGGUAAUACGUAGGGGGCAAGCGUUAUCCGGAUUUACUGGGUGUAAAGGGAGCGUAGACGGCAUGGCAAGUCAGAUGUGAAAGCCCGGGGCUCAACCCCGGGACUGCAUUUGAAACUGUCAGGCUGGAGUGCAGGAGAGGUAAGUGGAAUUCCUAGUGUAGCGGUGAAAUGCGUAGAUAUUAGGAGGAACACCAGUGGCGAAGGCGGCUUACUGGACUGUAACUGACGUUGAGGCUCGAAAGCGUGGGGAGCAAACAGGAUUAGAUACCCGAGUA
rnacentral:rRNA from 1 species